rnacentral:rRNA from 1 species
GACGAACGCUGGCGGCGUGCUUAACACAUGCAAGUCGAACGGAAAGGCCUUUUCGGAGGUACUCGAGUGGCGAACGGGUGAGUAACACGUGGGUGAUCUGCCCUGCACUCUGGGAUAAGCCUGGGAAACUGGGUCUAAUACCGGAUAGGACCGCACUUUAGUGUGUGUGGUGGAAAGUUUUUUCGGUGUAGGAUGAGCCCGCGGCCUAUCAGCUUGUUGGUGGGGUAAUGGCCUACCAAGGCGGCGACGGGUAGCCGGACUGAGAGGUUGGGCGGCCACAUUGGGACUGGGAUACGGCCCAGACUCCUACGGGAGGCAGCAGUGGGGAAUAUUGCACAAGGGGCGCAAGCCUGAUGCAGCGACGCCGCGUGGGGGAUGACGGCCUUCGGGUUGUAAACUCCUUUCGCCAGGGACGAAGCGUUUUGUGACGGUACCUGGAGAAGAAGCACCGGCUAACUACGUG